rnacentral:lncRNA from 1 species
CAUGGUCGCCCAUGAGCAGGUCCAAAAAGGACCCCUGAAGCUUAAAAGCAUUGCAGAGCUCAGCAUAACCAAGCAGAAUAAGAAAAAGAAAGACCAAGACAAGGUGAAACUCAAGGAAGUGAUGGAAUGAGCAAAAAGAUUAAGGAGCAGAAGCAGUGUGGCCAGGACAAGUGGAUCCCAGCCCAGGUGGCCUUCAAGAAUCUCCAGGAGAACAAAUAGAGAGGAUCCUGAAGAAAGCAUCCAAAACUUACAGGCAGAGUGUGGAGGACUUCAGCAGACACCUGCUGCACACAAUCAAGGAGCAUGAUGAGGUUCUCACAGCUAGCUGGAC